rnacentral:lncRNA from 1 species
AGAAAGAAAACAAAAAAGCCCAAAUAAUGUAAUCUAUAACAUAAAAAACCCAUAUACUGCUUUUUUUUUUUUUUUUUAAACACUCCUGAUCAAAGGCACAAGUGGGAAACCCCAAUACAUGUUUUGGACCUGGAGGUAAAUAUUGUAAAAUUACAAGUACCUUUCCUCCUGUCACUCACCUGCCUUUUUUUGACAUGAAAACUUAUCUGUUUUCCAGAACAUCUUUUGUCUCCACAUGGUCCAGUUCUGUCCUUGGUAUGGAACAGAAGUUCUACUGCCACAAGCCCAAUCUUCAGGCCUUCUAAGGUAAAAACAUUGACAUGAGGACAGGAUCAACAUAACAGAGUAUUUUAGCACUGUUUUGUAUGCAGCAAAAGUCAAGCUUUGUACCUACAACUCUUCAGAUACUUUAAAAAUCUGCAGGUCAUCCAAACUCUCCA